rnacentral:tRNA from 1 species
GCCUGGGUGGCUCAGUUGGUUGGAGCUUCGUCCCAUACAUCAAAAGGCCUGGGUUCAAUUCCCAGUCAGGGCA